AAAGCAAAAAAGAAACAACCUGCGAGAUAUGUGUGAGAGAUAAAACGCAGCUCUCUCAGAAAGGUAAUGCAGGGAAAUCCAUCGGUGCCGCUUGGAGCAAGCAAUCGGAAUAGCGUACCUCCACCAACUCCAAAUGUCAGAUCGUAAUCUUCCCGAACAAGGAUUGAGCACCGGGAGCAUGGUCCUGGACAGUGAUAUGCAGGAACAGAGAAGCUGAAUGUGUGUGGUUGUGGAGGUUUGCAUCUUGCUGAAAGCCCCUGGUUCCAAGAAGGAACAAUUUGAUCAAGCAUGCAAAAAUUAUUUCAUUACUUGUACGAUAAACACUAGAAGUGAAUCUUCAGAGAAGAUGAUGAGCUCCUUGUUUCAGUGAUGUUUUAAUCAGUUGUAGUCAUCAAUUCAGUAUUGAUACUACUCAAAUAUCCAGGUCCAGCCAGCACAUUAUGAACCCAGUUAUUUUCUGAUGGAAUAAGAAGCCUGUGUCAUGGAGGGAAUAUAAUUAUUGUGUAAUUGACUGGUGAAGUAGCUACUUACCAAGUGGAACACUCUACUAAAGUGCAAGCCCAUGAGGGUAUCACAUGGACAGAUGGUGACACUGGAAUGACACCUUCUAAGAUGAACUUAAUCAUAUUCUCUGGAGUUGGGACCAGUGAACUAUUAAUCUGGAUCCUAGAUGGACCACCAUUCAACCGUUCCAAAUCUUGAUGCUGGUUAACCUAAGGGCUGCCUUCAUGGAGGGAUCAUUGACUCUAUCUGCUCCACAAAGAGACGAUAACUGGUCCACUUGCCCAUCAUAGCCGGUAGGUGGGUCCUCUGGUGUCCUCACCCACUGUCGAUCUCCACCUCAGAUUCUCUGCCACCGUGGUUCGACAUUAAAGAAUUGCUUCCAUUCACGUGUCGUUUGCCACUGGGGACCACUUCACUCUCAAGAUGUGGCGACUUCGAGAGUUAUCCUGUCUUUCUCUCAGUUUCUUCAUUGAUUGCAGCCCCAAAAUUGUCUUACUCUGAAAUCAACACUUAAAAGCUCAUGAUGGUGUGGGGUUUUAUGGUCACUUUCAUCCUGCUAAGAUGGUACUCACUGAAAUGCGACAGAAGAAAGGUUAAUUUCAAGUUCAGGAAGACAUAUAUUAUUUUCGGCAUUGUCAUCGAUCAUAUCAGUGAGAAGGUUUUUGGCUCUUUCAGAAUAACGGUGAUCCCCCACCAAGGGGAUUUACCCAGGUAACAGGUACCAUGGCAUUUUUUGGAGUUUCUGCAUUCAUUUCCUUCCUCUUCAUCCUAUAUCAGUAUGAUUGAAUUGAUUAUUCUUAUCAAUAUUCUCAAAUAUGUAGGUAACAGGGCAUGGACAAAUGCAACAAGGUUGGGGCCCUGGUUGGAGAUGCAAGAAGGCAAUAUGCUGAGUCCUUGAGAUGCAUGUGAUAGUGCAGUAACGGGGUGUGCAACUGAAGACUUCUCAGAGGUAUCUCAGAAUCAGAGGUCUAGGCAUGGGUGAAAAGAGUAUCAUUCCAGUAGAGAAAAGAGAGAGGGGCAAAUGGUCCAAUGCAGUUGCAUGAUGCCUUGGUGCUGGAAGCACUGCUGAAUUCCGAAUCUGGCACAGAGUUGUAUGCUUUUGAUCCCCCACACCAGGAUUGGGAUGAAAUAGCACUUCAGGAUUCUCUUCACAUGCAUUCGAUCAAUGAGAAAAGGUGACUGGAGUGACUAGUGCUGGAGAACAUGGGAGUCCCAUCUUACUCAAAAGGACCCUCUCAUUGCUCUUCUUCCUCUUAUGUAACUAAGAAAGGAUGGUUUAGAGAGUUGGGAGCCAAGUGAAACAUCAACCUUGAGGGAAUCUUAGGAGCUAAUGAUUUGGUAGGCCUCUGACAUGUGGCUUGGUGCUUCUAUUCUGAGUGGGGGGAGGGGAGAGCUGCAAGUUGGCCACAGCUGACUCCCUGCAAUAAAGUCCUGAGCUUUAUUUCUUUUUCAGAAAUUAAUCAUUCAACUUGCAGUAUUUCUUUACUGCACUGGCAUGCCUUCCUUGCAUUUAAUUCCAGUAAUAUCAUUGAUGCUGUACAGCUGCAGCAUAGAUUUCACUCCAAUCCUUUGAGGAUCCUGCAGGAUCUUACCAGCCUUUCCAGUAGUACCAUGGCAGAAGCAAUGCAGUGGCUGCUGUAGUCUGAAGACAAGCAAAGUACAUGGCUAAAAAACAUAGCAAACAAUGGCUUUGUUGUGUUUGUUGGGAGGGAUGAAGAGAAAGGUUGCCUUGAAAUGUGAAGUAUUUCAAAAAAAAAAGAAGAGAGAGAAAAGUUGCCUUGAAAUGU